rnacentral:rRNA from 1 species
UACAGAGGGGGCUAGCGUUGUUCGGAAUUACUGGGCGUAAAGGGCGCGUAGGUGGCCUGUUAAGUCGAACGUGAAAUCCCCGGGCUCAACCCGGGAACUGCGUCCGAGACUGGCAGGCUCGAAUCCGGGAGAGGGAUGUGGGAUUCCAGGUGUAGCGGUGAAAUGCGUAGAUAUCUGGAGGAACACCGGUGGCGAAGGCGGCAUCCUGGACCGGUAUUGACGCUGAGGCGCGAAAGCCAGGGGAGCAAACGGG